rnacentral:lncRNA from 1 species
CACGACUGUGAGCCACGAGCCCUCCCAAAUGCAAGGGGUGAGGGGUCCGAGGCCGCGUCUUGAUGGGGGAGUGGGGGUUUCCAGAAGAGAAUGUGGGACAGGGAUGACUGAGGCCAGUUUCAGAAAACCAUGCCUGGCAUGGAGGUUUAUGUCAUAAGCAUUAUUUAUGACAUAAGACAAAUAGACCACAGAGCCUUUUCCUCCCAGGCUGGGUGGUAUCUGGGGAUGCUCGCUGCUCCGUAGUUGCCUCGGGGUCCAUCCGUGUCAUCACAAUCGACAGGAUUUCCUUCAUUUCAUGGCUGAAAAGUAUUCACACACUUCUUCCUGGGCUCCAGCAGUGGUGGCACCUUGGCACCUCCCUUGAGAAAGGUUUAAGCUGCACCUCGGACCAGCUGCCUCAUGCUGAGACUAUGCUGGUCAGUGCUACCAUCAGUGUGUGGCCACCUGAUGCCAGUGGAAAGCCCUAGGAGCCCACAUCCCAGGAGCAGAAGCCACAGUCUCCUCGCUGCACCCCGUGUGCUCAAAGGAGCGAUCCUGAAACACCCUCCAGACGCCACUACAUGCAAAGCUCGUUGUGCUUCAAUAAAGGCCCUGGCAGCAUCCAUCAGGAGAUCUCCAAACAGCCUCAGGGCAGAGCUGGAGGUCAUUAGUGUCACCCGGCUCAUCCCAUGUCCCUUUUGGGAGGCUGAUCUCCAAGCAAAGGUCUUCAUGACUGCUGCAGAACAUGGAUUCACUCGCUUAUUCUAUCAACAAGCAGAUCCAUCAAGUCAUCUGGUUCAUGCGUCUCAUCUGUGUGGUGGCUGUGAAGGACGCCCCUGGAACCUUCCCACCUGCCCCAGAAUAUGCUGGACAUGGUCAGCACCUGGCUCCUGUCAACCUUCCGUCUCCAUCACCGGCCUCUGGAGAUUCCCUACUCCCAUGUGGUGUUGGAACUCUGUUUUUGAUCCAUGCAUCCUUCUUUUGGAGAACUACACCCUUCAGAACUUACCAAGGAAAGAUUCUUUGGGGGCGAAGGACACGGCGUCAUUACAGAGAGCUCUCUCGAAAC